ACGUUAGCGGCGGACGAGUGAGUAACACGUGGGUAACCUACCUAUAAGACUGGGAUAACUUCGGGAAACCGGAGCUAAUACCGGAUAAUAUUUCGAACCGCAUGGUUCGAUAGUGAAAGGUGGUUUUGCUAUCACUUAUAGAUGGACCCGCGCCGUAUUAGCUAGUUGGUAAGGUAACGGCUUAUCAAGGCGACGAUACGUAGCCGACCUGAGAGGGUGAUCGGCCACACUGGAACUGAGACACGGUCCAGACUCCUACGGGAGGCAGCAGAC
rnacentral:rRNA from 1 species